UACAGAGGUCUCAAGCGUUGUUCGGAUUCAUUGGGCGUAAAGAGCUCGUAGGCGGUGUGUCGCGUCGGCCGUGAAAACCUGCAGCUUAACUGUGGGCGUGCGGUCGAUACGGGCAUCACUGGAGUUCGGCAGGGGAGACUGGAAUUCCUGGUGUAGCGGUGAAAUGCGGCCAGAUAUCAGGGAGGAACACCGGUGGCGAAGGCGGGGUCUCUGGGCCGAUACUGACGCUGAGGAGCGAAAGCGUGGGGAGCAAAC
rnacentral:rRNA from 1 species